rnacentral:tRNA from 1 species
GGGGCUGUAGCUCAGCUGGGAGAGCGCUUCGUUCGCAACGAAGAGGUCGGGAGUUCGAUCCUCCUCAGCUCCACGA